UACGAGGGGAGCUAGCGUUAUUCGGAAUUACUGGGCGUAAAGCGCACGUAGGCGGCUUUGUAAGUUAGAGGUGAAAGCCCGGGGCUCAACUCCGGAAUUGCCUUUAAGACUGCAUCGCUUGAAUCCAGGAGAGGUGAGUGGAAUUCCGAGUGUAGAGGUGAAAUUCGUAGAUAUUCGGAAGAACACCAGUGGCGAAGGCGGCUCACUGGACUGGUAUUGACGCUGAGGUGCGAAAGCAUGGGGAGCAAACAGG
rnacentral:misc_RNA from 1 species